GACGAACGCUGGCGGCGUGCCUAAUACAUGCAAGUAGAACGCUGACGGAGGAGCUUGCUUCUCUGGAUGAGUUGCGAACGGGUGAGUAACGCGUAGGUAACCUGCCUGGUAGUGGGGGAUAACUAUUGGAAACGAUAGCUAAUACCGCAUAAUAGCAGUUGUUGCAUGAUAACUGUUUGAAAGGUGCAAUUGCACCGCUACCAGAUGGACCUGCGUUGUAUUAGCUAGUUGGUGGGGUAACGGCUCACCAAGGCGACGAUACAUAGCCGACCUGAGAGGGUGAUCGGCCACACUGGGACUGAGACACGGCCCAGACUCCUACGGGAGGCAGCAGUAGGGAAUCUUCGGCAAUGGACGGAAGUCUGACCGAGCAACGCCGCGUGAGUGAAGAAGGUUUUCGGAUCGUAAAGCUCUGUUGUAAGAGAAGAACGAGUGUGAGAGUGGAAAGUUCACACUGUGACGGUAUCUUACCAGAAAGGGACGGCUAACUACGUG
rnacentral:rRNA from 1 species